rnacentral:rRNA from 1 species
GGGUACCGGGCGGAGGACAACUACGACUACCUCUUCAAGGUCGUCCUCAUCGGCGACUCCGACAUCGGCAAGUCCAACCUGCUCUCCCGCUUCACCCGCAACGAGUUCAGCCUCGAGUCCAAGUCCACCAUCAGGGGGGUCGAGUUCGCCACCCGCUCCCUCUAGGUCGACGGCAAGGUCGUCAAGGCCCAGAUUUGGGACACUACCGACUGUCCUUAUCCCCGUCUACUCGGCAGCAGGUUGAUUCCCCUUCCCCUUGAAGUGUGUGUGUGUGUGUGUGUGUGUGUCUGCUGUAGGGCUUUUGUUGGAUCUCGCUACCGAAUUAUGCUGCGUGCUGGUGCGGCUGUGCGGUGA